GAGAGCGGGUGUAACAUCCCAAAAUUUCAAACUUUUACAUGUGCAUUGCAUCCAUGAGCAUCAUGCCACAAUUGCAUAUUUGAAUUCAAAAUUUGAAUAUCAAAAAGGCUUUAACAGACUUUGUUUACACCCAUUUAAGCUUUGGACUUUCAAACCAAUAGGGUUUAUGUAUAAAAGGGGUAUAUUGCAUAUAUAAGCUAUCCCAUAAUUUUUGGAUAAUUAUUUGGAGUUGAAAAAGUAUUUUAUUUAAAUAGAUAUAUAUAGCUCUAAAGGCAUUUAUAGGGCAAAUGUAUUUUUAUAUAUUUUAUUUUGAGGGGAAACUACUCCCAAAAGUUGAAUCAUGGUAGAACAUGAUUUUUACAAAUUUUCUAGAAUUUAUUUGGACCAAUUUGGAGUUCAAAAUCAAAAGAUAUCAAAGAAAUAAGAAAAACAGAAAAAGAAAAGGGCUAAAGGAAAAAAAAAGAGAAAACCGGACCGGCCCGGCCACUUUGGGCCGAACCAGCCCAGUCCGACCACGCCCGACCGCACGCGAGCCGGCACCGCCAGCCUGGUCCGCUCGUGCACGCGCCCGCUGCCACUGACAGGUGGGGCCCACCUGUCAGCAGCUUCUUCCCA
rnacentral:lncRNA from 1 species